AUGAAGUUGACUAUUCUGAUGUUGUUGCUGCUGUUGUUCUUGAUUCCUGCUUCCAGGGGUGAUGUUAUGAUGACCCAAACUCCACUGGCCCUGCCUGUCAGUCUUGGAGAUCAAGCCUCUAUCUCUUGCAGAUCUAGUCAGAGCCUUGUACAUAAUAACGGAAACACCUAUUUGAAUUGGCUCCUGCAGAAACCAGGCCAGUCUCCACAGCUCCUGAUCUACAAAGUUUCCACCCGAUUUUCUGGGGUCCCAGACAGGUUCAGUGGCAGUGGGUCAGGCACAGAUUUCACACUCAAGAUCAGCAGAGUGGAGCCAGAGGAUUUAGGAGUUUAUUACUGCAUGCAAGCUACACAUGUUCCUCCCACAGGUCCUGGAACCAAGAGAGCGUUCGCCGAUCCAGAUCUCGGGUCCCCAGGCGCCUCCCUUGGCCCCGCCUUGUAGGCGUGACAGUUGCCGAAGUCUCAAUGGGGGUUGGAACUUCCAGAACAAAGCUGGAAUGGCUACCCACUACAUCUCCCCCUUUUUGUCUAAAUAAGAAAGUUCUAACCUAAUACAAGACUAUAUACAAAGGAAUGGUUAUCAAAUAUUGUCCAGGAAUAAUGAGGGAUAAUGACCUAGAUAAAUGGAACUACAACCAAUGCAAACAAUAUCAAGCAAGAAACACAUAUUAAAAUCCAGAGACGUAUAGAGCAUAGGUAAAUGGCAUGUUACAAAGAUCAUUCCAAAAGGUGUCCUAUCCUAAAGAACCUAAAUCUAAUACUUAAUAUGUUCUAUCUACUAAGUUGUAACUAUAACUGCUAGUCUUCAAUCCCAUCAAAGACCUGAGAAGGAAUAUAAUGGUACCUGAGAAAUGGUAGAUGGAUGCAAGCAACUUUCGGGAAUCUUGCGAGAGUAGACCGAGACAGCUGGCAGCCUGGACAGUCACCUAAUGUUUCUCAGCAUUGUUGGUGCAUUCAAAUUGGCUACAGGCCUAAAGUAUCUGACAGACCAUUUUCAGAAGCAGGAAUUCUGAAAGACCAUCUUACCCUGUCUUGGCAGAGUACAGUGGUCGCUUUCCUUGUGUCCCGCUUGUCCAGAAAGGAUAGCAUUGCAUUUGUACUGUCAGCCGUCGAGGCAAGGGCAGUUCUUUGCCCAGUAGGCCAUUUUGUGCCAAGAAGACAAACUUCCAAAUGGAAAUGUCUAGAAGCCCAACAUUC